AUGAAGGCCUUAGGGUCGUAAAGCUCUUUCGCCAGGGAUGAUAAUGACAGUACCUGGUAAAGAAACCCCGGCUAACUCCGUGCCAGCAGCCGCGGUAAUACGGAGGGGGUUAGCGUUGUUCGGAAUUACUGGGCGUAAAGCGCACGUAGGCGGAUUAGAAAGUUAGGGGUGAAAUCCCGGGGCUCAACCCCGGAACUGCCUUUGAACUGCUGGUCUUGAGUUCGAGAGAGGUGAGUGGAAUUCCGAGUGUAGAGGUGAAAUUCGAAGAUAUUCGGAGGAACACCAGUGGCGAAGGCGGCUCACUGGCUCGAUACUGACGCUGAGGUGCUAAAGCGUGGGGAGCAAACAGGAUUAGAUACCCUGGUAGUCCACACCGUAAACGAUGAAUGCCAGCCGUCGGGUAGCAUGCUAUUCGGUGACACACCUAACGGAUUAAGCAUUCCGCCUGGGGAGUACGGUCGCAAGAUUAAAACUCAAAGG
rnacentral:rRNA from 1 species